rnacentral:rRNA from 1 species
CCUACGGGAGGCAGCAGUGAGGAAUAUUGGUCAAUGGACGAAAGUCUGAACCAGCCAAGUAGCGUGAAGGAUGACUGCCCUAUGGGUUGUAAACUUCUUUUAUAUGGGAAUAAAAUGUUCUACGUGUAGGAUUUUGUAUGUACCAUAUGAAUAAGGAUUGGCUAACUCCGUGCCAGCAGCCGCCGUAAUACGGAGGAUCCGAGCGUUUUCCGGAUUUUUUGGGUUUAAAGGGAGCGUAGGUGGGUUGUUAAGUCAGUUGUGAAAGUGUGCGGCUCAACCGUAACAUUGCAGUUGAAACUGGCAGUCUUGAGUACAGUAGAGGUAGGCGGAAUUCGUGGUGUAGCGGUGAAAUGCUUAGAUAUCACGAAGAACUCCGAUUGCGAAGGCAGCAUACUGGACUGCAACUGACGCUGAGGCUCGAAAGUGUGGGUAUCAAACAGGAUUAGAUACCCUUGUAGUC